GUGUUAUGUGGCAUCAAGCUAAACUUAUAAACUAUGGGGGCAAAGCAGUAAGAGACAGCUGCGCAGGAGCUGCUGGGUAUCAAUUGCUGGGUGAUUCAUCCUGUUUGGACACCAGAGACGGGAAGAAAACCUAAUGUGCCUUUGAAAUUUAACACACUGCACUUCAAGAGGGAUCUGGAGGAAUGGCUUAAAUCCCUUGCAGCAACAAAGUGCCACCAUCACCAAGAAGAGGGAGGCUAGGAAGAAGAAGGAAGAAGCAUAGGACAACACUGAAGUCCCUCCAUCUUGCCUCCUAGACCACCAUAGUAAAAUUCUUCACAAUUCCACUUUUCACCCGAUGUUGUUCAGCAUUCAGACACUUCACCUGCACUCAUCAAUCCUGUUUCAUCAACCAAUUUGAUUUCAUGUUUUAGGAGCAGCCUGUCACCAUGUGCCUAGAGACAAGCUGGCAGGAAAAAGACCAAUCUUACUGAACAGAGUUUGACUGGAGAUCAGGAAAAAAAGGAGAAUCUACAGCCUGUGGAAGAAGGAGCAGAAAACUCAGAAGGACUACAAGGAUGUAGUGAGGUUAUGCAGGGAGAAAAUUAGAGGGGCCAAAGCCCAACUAGGGUUUAAUUUGGCUAUUGCUAUAAAAGUCAAUAAAAAUUUUUCAACGAAUAUAUCAGCAAAAAAAGGUGGGCCAAGGAGAAUCCCUAUCCUUUAUUGGAUGUGGGGGGAAACAGUGACAAAGGAUGGGGGAGAGGCUGAAGCACUUAAUGCCUUCUUUUCCUCAGUCAUUAAUGAUAAGAACAGUUGUUCCCUGGGUACCCAGUCCCCUGAGCUGGAAGACAAGGACAGAAAGCAGAAUCAAAGCCCCACCAUCCAAGGGCAAAUGGUCUAGGACUUGCUACACCAUUUAGACACACACAAGACUAUGGGGCUGGAUGGGAUCCAAUCAAAAUGUUUCCAUGAUUCUGUGUUUCUAGCACUUAUUUUUCUUUUGUCCUAAGGAACUUCUGUGUUCGAGAUUAGCUUUGUAAGAUUAACUUUUAAAUUGAAAGACUUAGCUAAUUAAAAAAUAUUCCCUGCAGGAAACUAAUUUUUAAAUACUAAUGGACAAUCACUGAGGUAAAAAUCUAUGUCAAAUCAACUUAAGUUAAAAAAUUCUACCAAGAUACAGCCAGGAAUCAACAUUAAUGGCCUGAUUCAUACCGUGUAGACAGUCCUCUUGGAUGUUUGUGCCUCCAUUUUGGGAACCUCAGAACUAAGAGGCUUAAGUGAGUUCCUCAAAACAGAAGAGAGAUGCAUAUAGUAGUGGAAGGGUUGGGAGGACUAAUGUGAAGACCACAGAAGAAAGCAGAGGAAGCUGUGGAAUUAAAGGACAAGCCAGACUAAGUAAACAGGCUUUUUGCAUGAGCUAGGAAGAGAAUUCCAAUUUGGAAUAACUUUUUAGGGCGUAAUAGCUUGCAUAAUGUCUAAAUGGAACAUCAUUGCAUAAUAACUAAAUGCGAAGAGAGUGAUGAGUCAGUACAACCAAUACCUGACCAUGGUGGUACAUUCUCUCUAAUAGCCACCCUAAGUGAGAUAAGACCCACCUUUGCUGGCUCUGAACCAUAUUAUCCAUCUUCUUCUGUAGAGUAUUUCCUGGGGUAAAGGAAAUAAAGCAGUGAACAAGCAUGCAGCUCAGGUUCCAGAGCAGUAGAGUCUGACCUCCUAUAAAGUAAUAGGCUCUGAUGGACCACAGUUGUCUCCAAAUGGAGGUUGCUUGGGUACAUCCUCAUCUGUAAAGCACGUGAAUUUUGUGAACCAGGCAACCUGCCCAUGAAUAAUGGAAAAUUAGGAGUACACAGUUAUGUCAUGUCUGCAGCACACAGUGCCUUAUGACAGGAUUCAGCUUGCUGACUGCAGCAUUGACAUUUGAUGUCUGUAGAUGAUAUUCAAUAUGUGCACUAAACUCUCAUGAGAGCUGAUAGAGAUCAACCCAAAACAGUCAGUGCAGCCUAAAGGAUGAUUCAGUCCAUUCUAAAAUAGACAGCACCCAAAUUAUGAGGAAGUUACUUAAUAAGAGGUGUUUAGUAUUGUGAAAAGUCCUCCAAAAUAAAGAUGAUGGGCCACAAGCUCUAAUGCAGCAGCAUGAUAUGGUGUGUAAUGUCUGCUACCCCCACACAGGUGUCCUGGGUUGCUGUGAGCAUCCCACUUGGUACCAGGUACAUAGGUUUUGGUACAGAUUUCUGCUACAGUGGCUCAUCAGCUGAGCCACUCCUGAGAGGCUGUUGGCUGUCCUGACCAAAUCUCCAUGGAGCACAGUGAGAACUUGUUCUCUGGAUGACAUGUAGAUGGCUACCUGCACACACCUGAUAAUUUUUGUCCUAAGCUGUGAUCUAAAUCCACUCUUGGUAACUGCAUGGUGCUCUGUAAAGCACUGCAACAUUUUCUCCUUCAGCAUCCAUUCCAUCUCACCCUGGUCUAGAGAGAAAUACUGGGUGGGCAUCCUCAAUGCAGUAAAAGUGACUUUUCUAGAUUUUAACUUUUCUCAGAUCUGUGGGUAUACUGAAGCAAUUUAUUGAAAUUUCUGCACCUGUAGGGUUGCACUAAGAGCAUGGUUUCACUAAAACUGACCUUCUUUACAGGAACAAUGUUGUGCUGUGGUUGGUGUAAAUAAGAAAGACACUGUGGAUUUAAGCUCAUCUUAGAAAAGAUAAACCUAUUCUAUCUGACAUAUCCAGCUGUGCAAACAGCAGUACGGAGUGAUCUAUGUUAACUUUACUAAUAUGUGAGCUUUAGAAUAGAAGCUGUGCUAAAUGUAAAUGGUUCCUCUGCUUCUAAGUAGUUGAAUACUGCAGAAGACAGGAAAUAAAAGAGGAGCACGAAUUAUUUCCCUGGCUCCUAUAAAAGAGGAUUGAAAAUGGCACAUUGCAGAACUUAAUUCUUAUUCAUACCAAUGUCUUUUGCCUUUCUUAGGCAUCAUUUCCACAAUAUGGAAAUUUCCGUAGUGUAUCAGCUGCCAGGAAGGAAAAUGAUGACCAAGCCAGAACCAUUUCCUUAUUCCUGUAGCACAGAGCUCCUAGUAGUCUGGGGCUGUUACUCCACUUGAGUGAUGGAUGACACCAGCUGGAUCUUUAGUAAAAGCACAGGGAUCUCUUCUUUAGAAGCUGAGAGUAUGCAAAAAAGUGCAGUCAGACACUGGGGAAGAGAAUGCCCCAUGUUCACCAAAACUUUAGGGAGAACUGUAAUCCUAUUUUCCUGAACUAUUGUCCACUCAGUGACUGUAAUGCAAGCAAGCCUCUAUAGUUGUUUUACCUUCCAGCUGCUAUCCUAUGUCACAAAAAACCAAAGAACAAUAAACAAGCAAUCAAACACAUAAAUAUUCUGUAUCAUUAGCUGCAUAUAGCAUCACAUGUUCUCAGUGCUGUAGUUGCUUAAGGAUACUUUCUAACCAAUGUGUCAAUGAUGGACACAUGAAGUGUGCUGCUUCCACUAGAAUUUCCCCUUUUCUACAGGGCUAAACCACUGUUGACAUCUCAUUAAUUCACCCCACUCUGUGCUGUCUCAACAUGGAGCUAACCUUUGUGUUCAGACAGUUUGCUUUCUGAAAAAAUUUUCUUGUGCUCAGCACCAUGCUUUUUCUUGCUGCUUUUUUUCCAUUGCAUCAUUUUUUUCCCCUUCAGCCUGAAAUGUGGGGGACCAUUUUCCUUUGCAGCAUAUGGCAGUGUUCAGCUGUUGAAACAGCAGGGGAGGUUAUAAAUCCAGACAGGGAACUGCUCUUCAUCCUUAGUAGCUGAAUGCUUCGUGGCCUUCGCAGGCAAUGCUUUCUCUAACCCUGUGACCUUGUCUGGUCUCAGACACAGACCUCUCACACGGGCUGGAGAGCAGCAUCGUGCUCAAACAGCUCCAAGUCUGCUUUUACUGAGUAGCUUUUUUUAGACAAAUGCCAAAUAGUAGUAUUAAUUUGUGAUUUUUCAAGUGUGUCCUCAUUACUUUUUUGGACUUCUUCACCUCUACAAACACAGAAAUAAAAGAAGAAUAAAGUCAAAAUCUUAUCUGAAUACAAUAUUUAACUGCAGGGAUUUAUUGCAAUAUUUUUAGCACUAAAGCAGCUCAAGCCCUCAUUUAAAAAUACCCUGUUGCAUUCCCUACUGUUGCCAAGUAUACAAUUCCAUUUUCCUUCAAAACAUGGCUACCAAAACCCAAAAAGGUGAGUCACCUUUUCAAUGCCUAGAAGUGUUACAGAUGUAACUUCUGUUUUUUUCACAGCAAGAGUGGGCAGAAAUUUAUAAAUUACAUUUUCAGUACAGCUUUCAGAGUUACCUCUGGAAGAACCUAAAUUCCUGGACACCAGAGUUUAGAUAUCUAAACUAAAAAGUUUAGAUAAGUUCAUUCUGUACUUUUUAUAGUAAAUAUGUGCCCAUGAACAACAGUUCUCAUUAAAUUAUUCAGAUUUCCCUGGAAUAGGUGAAAAUCAACUGAUUUCCUUCGUUUUUGUUUCUUUUAUAACAGACAUGGAAUAUAAAGUGAAAUAUACCUGAUAUGGGAAGGUAAUUUUUCUUGUAGUGGUUUUUUUUUCUUUAGGAAAAAAGACUUCUAUUAAAAAGUUUCCUCUUUCUCAAUUAAGUUUUCCUUUUAUAUCAAAACAAAAGGACUUUUGACUUCACUUUCCCAUUUGCAGCACCUCUGAAUCUUGUUAUAGAGCAGCUGUCCUUAGAUUUUUUUGUACUUUAAUGACAAAGGUGACACUAUCCACCAUAUCAAGGUAGAGAGAUCAUGGUGGGAUAGUAUGAGAGAUGAAAUCUUGGGCUUCCCUGGAAAGAUCAGGGAAAUAUUUUAAUUUGGGUUCAUUUCUGCUGUAGUCUGAAAAGGGAGAACUAUUCUACUUCACACAGUAUGUAGAGAUACUCCAUAUAUAGUAUUUCCAUUAUGAAUUUCUUGCAAUAGUAUUUGGUUACAGAAAUGAAAGCUAUUCCAUGAAAAGGGAUUAAAUUCUUUGCUGUGCUGAAGUCUCAGCAGCGUCAGUCAGGGUACAUGGUAGUGUUCCUUCUUCUGGUCUUGUCUAUGGCCAUCCUGUCUGCUAGUGCCUCUGCUUUAGCAGGCAGUGUGGAUUAUUACAAAUUCCCAUGGCCUGGCAGCUACAGAAAUCUUUUGGGACAAAGAAGUGUGGACUCUGUGAGGCUGAGAGCAGUUUAUCUGUCAUUUGCUGUGUGCCAAAUAGUAGGUGAAAGACCCUAACAAAGUAUUUUUCCUCUUCAGGCAUAGUGAGGAAGCCUACUGAGACUCUGUUUCAAUAGGGGUGAAUGGAGCAGACAGAAGUAUUAAAUCUUUUUUGUUUCCUAUAGGAAGUAAAAUUCUCAAUUAAUGUGUCUGGAUUAGCAUCUGGAGGUUCCUUCCUUUUGAUACAGUCAAUGGAAAGAGGGAAGCGCCUAAUCUAAUAUAAUCUAACAGUAUUUUCACCUAGAUGUCUUCAGAGAAAUUUAUCAUUUCUGUCAUCUUUACGGAGAAUGCAAAUAGUUAAACUACGCAGUCUGACACACCAGUUACCCAAGUUUCAUUAAGUUGGAGGUCUGAAUGAGUAAAAUGGAAAAUUCUACACAAGAGUGGUGAAUUUGUAAAUCCUGUAAGUGUUCUGUAAGCAGGUUACUAGUCCUUAACAGAACAAAUCCAAUUUGAGUCAGUAGAGAGAUGGAUGGAUAUGAUGGUGAUGGUGAGAAGCUCAGGAAUUACAUGGCUGUGUGUUGAAGAACAGCUGUUUCAUACUUGCUUCUUGGUUCAUCAAAUGUCUUUUUGAUGAUAUACAUCUCCUAUGCCACAGGAUUGUCUGCUGCAGCUGCUGCUAACAAACCCAGAUCUGAGCAUCAUUUUGAUUAAUGGGAGAUGGAAAUAUUCUUGUACUCUAUUUUCUUUUUCUCCUAUCAGAAUUACUUUCUGUCCAUCUGUUACCUUUUUUGCUAUAAUUGUCACUACAGUGAUUUCAAAGUUUUUCUUGUAAUACCUGGAUUACUUUUCAGUUAAGUUCUCACUCUUUCUUCUGGUUUGGGUUGUUGGCUUUUUUUCCUUUUUAAUUAUUUUAAAUUCAGUUCUCAGAGUGCUUUUAGUUUGGUUUUGUUGUGUUUUGGUUUUAGUUUUGUUUUUUUUUUUUUGCCCAAAAACCUUUGUUGGAAGUUUGCAAUAACUAUCACUGUGGGGUUGCUUGUAUUACAGGAUUUGGUGUGUCUCAUUGGAUGGCUAAGGAUGUCAGUUGAACCAGAUGAUCCCUGUGGUGCCUUAGAAUUUAUGCCGAUGAUUGACAUGGUUGGUUUAUAUCAUCCUACAUAUUGCCAAUUAUAUCAAACAUGUUUAAUAUUAGUACCAUAUUAUUUCAUGUUAGAAAUAUACUGAAUUCUCAUGGACAAAUAUCACACCAAACAUAUCUCUGUCUUGGAAGCAUAAUUGUGGUUGUUGCAAGAAAAUGGCAAAGGUCAGUAUAAAUAAGUAUCAGAUUUUACUAUGUAAUAAUUUCCAAUCAGCAUAUGGCCUGUGUCUUUUCAUGAAUGUAUGUCAUUGGAUAUGCAAUUAUCUAAUGGUUAUAUUGAUGUUUGAUCUAAAUGAUUGAUGAUGAUGUUAUAUAUGACAGAAAUCAUGCCAAAUUUUUGUUUGUUGUUUUUGGAUGAAAGUGCCAUCCAAAGCCUUUACGAGGCAGUGUUGUAUGGUAUUCAUUUCCCUCAGGAUGAUGAGCUCAUCAUGCAGUGGGACAGAUGAUACCCUUACUUCCAGCUGCAGAUUGAAAUAAUCUUUGUUAGCAUUUGCUGCUUCUUCAGUGGCAUACUGCAUGUCUGCAAAGAAAAUUGAAUCAGCUCUCAUACAAAAUGUUACCAGAUAAAGAAUUUCACAUUAAAGCUGGUUUCACAUGAAGCAUGGUCCAAGGAUAAGUAUUCAAUUUAUUUAUCAGGAUUGCAGCAGGCCCCUGUCUGAGUUAUUGUGAAUGACUAAUGAAUGUACUCCUGAUUUUUCUGACAGUCGGAAUAUUGUUCCUUUUCAGUUCUUUGUCCCAAAGUGCUCAACAGCUAAUCUUGUUACCUGGUAGAAUGUUUGAAUUUCACAGCCAUUCUUAGUUCAGCUUUUUUCUUACAGAGUCAUAGGUUUUCAAAUCUAUAGACUUAAAGAGUCCAAGCUCAACUGUUUUCACUUGAGCUGCCUAAACCAAGCACAUUUGAACUUUUGGAUUGCUCCUGUACAUGUGGCUCUAGGUCUCCCAUCCAAUGACAGUGGUUGAAAGUUUAACAAAAAUGUUUGCUGGCUAUUCAGUAUGAAGAUCUCCCAUACUGUCAUGCUUCAAAUGAAAUUGCAUUUCUUGGAAGAGGGAAAAUGAGCUUUAUGCAGUUUUGCAAAAUAAAAUAUGAAAUCACAAGUAUUUUUAA